rnacentral:rRNA from 1 species
UGGGGAAUAUUGCACAAUGGGCGCAAGCCUGAUGCAGCCAUGCCGCGUGUGUGAAGAAGGCCUCGGUUGUAAAGCACUUCAGCGAGGAGGAAGGUGGUGAGCUUAAUACGCUCAUCAAUUGACGUUACUCGCAGAAGAAGCACCGGCUAACUCCGUGCCAGCAGCCGCGGUAAUACGGAGGGUGCAAGCGUUAAUCGGAAUUACUGGGCGUAAAGCGCACGCAGGCGGUUUGUUAAGUCAGAUGUGAAAUCCCCGGGCUCAACCUGGGAACUGCAUUUGAAACUGGCAAGCUAGAGUCUCGUAGAGGGGGGCUAGAAUUCCAGGUGUAGCGGUGAAAUGCGUAGAGAUCUGGAGGAAUACCGGUGGCGAAGGCGGCCCCCCUGGACGAAGACUGACGCUCAGGUGCGAAAGGCGUGGGGCAGCAAACAGGAUUAGAUACCCUGGUAGUCCACGCUGUAAACGAUGUCGA